rnacentral:rRNA from 1 species
CAGUAGCGCGGUAAUACAGAGGGUGCGAGCGUUAAUCGGAUUUACUGGGCGUAAAGCGUGCGUAGGCGGCUUCUUAAGUCGGAUGUGAAAUCCCUGAGCUUAACUUAGGAAUUGCAUUCGAUACUGGGAAGCUAGAGUAUGGGAGAGGAUGGUAGAAUUCCAGGUGUAGCGGUGAAAUGCGUAGAGAUCUGGAGGAAUACCGAUGGCGAAGGCAGCCAUCUGGCCUAAUACUGACGCUGAGGUACGAAAGCAUGGGGAGCAAACAGGAUUAGAUACCCGAGUAGUCCCUGUCUCUUAUACA